rnacentral:rRNA from 1 species
AGGUGAUGGACAACAGGUUGAUAUUCCUGUACUACCGAUAACCGUUUGAGAGAAGGGAUGACACAGUAGGAUAAGCUAAGCACACUGUUGGUUAUGUGUGCCCAAGCAUUGAGGCAGUCAAAGUAGGUAAAUCCGCUUUGAUAAUGCUGGGAUGUGAUGGGGAGCGAAAUUUAGUAGCGAAGUAGCUGAUUUCACACUGUCAAGAAAAGUCGCUAUCGAGGUUAAAGGUACCCGUACCGCAAACCGACACAGGUGGGUGAGAAGAGUAUCCUAAGGCCAGCGAGAGAACUGUGUUCAGGACUUAAAAUGACCCCGUAACUUAGGGAUAAGGGGUGCCACCAUCA